rnacentral:rRNA from 1 species
CCUACGGGUGGCAGCAGUGAGGAAUAUUGGUCAAUGGACGAAAGUCUGAACCAGCCAUGCCGCGUGAAGGUCAAUGGCCUAUUGGCGUGUAACUUCGUUUUUGCGGGAGAAAUACUGGUCACGUGUGGCCCUACGAGAGUACCGUACGAAUAAGCAACGGCUAAAUCCGUUCCAGCCGCCGCGGUAAAACGGGGGAUGCAAGCGUUAUCCGGAUGUAUUUGGGUUAAAGGGUGCGUAGGCUGAUAGGUAGUGUAGCGGUGAAAUGCUUAGAGAUCACGAAGAACCCCGAUUGCGAAGGCAGCUUACUAAACUGUGACUGACAUUGAUGCUCGAAAGUGUGGGUAUCAAACAGGAUUAGAUACCCCUGUAGUC